rnacentral:rRNA from 1 species
GAUGAACGCUGGCGGCGUGCCUAAUACAUGCAAGUCGAGCGAACAGACGAGGAGCUUGCUCCUCUGACGUUAGCGGCGGACGGGUGAGUAACACGUGGAUAACCUACCUAUAAGACUGGGAUAACUUCGGGAAACCGGAGCUAAUACCGGAUAAUAUAUUGAACCGCAUGGUUCAAUAGUGAAAGACGGUUUUGCUGUCACUUAUAGAUGGAUCCGCGCCGCAUUAGCUAGUUGGUAAGGUAACGGCUUACCAAGGCGACGAUGCGUAGCCGACCUGAGAGGGUGAUCGGCCACAGUGGAACUGCGACACGGUCCAGACUCCUACGGGAGGCAGCAGUAGGGAAUCUGCCGCAAUGGGCGAAAGCCUGACGGAGCAACGCCGCGUCAGUGAUGAAGGUCUUCGGAUCGUAAAACUCUGUUAUUAGGGAAGAACAAAUGUGUAAGUAACUAUGCACGUCUUGACGGUACCUAAUCAGAAAGCCACGGCUAACUACGUG